UACGGAGGGGGCUAGCGUUGUUCGGAAUUACUGGGCGUAAAGCGCACGUAGGCGGCUUUGUAAGUUAGAGGUGAAAGCCUGGGGCUCAACUCCAGAACUGCCUUUAAGACUGCAUCGCUUGAACACGGGAGAGGUGAGUGGAAUUCCGAGUGUAGAGGUGAAAUUCGUAGAUAUUCGGAAGAACACCAGUGGCGAAGGCGGCUCACUGGACCGUUGUUGACGCUGAGGUGCGAAAGCGUGGGGAGCAAACAGG
rnacentral:rRNA from 1 species